rnacentral:rRNA from 1 species
AUACGUAGGGUGCAAGCGUUAAUCGGAAUUACUGGGCGUAAAGCGUGCGCAGGCGGUUCGGAAAGAAGGAUGUGAAAUCCCAGGGCUCAACCUUGGAACUGCAUUCUUAGCUACCGAACUAGAGUAUGUCAGAGGGGGGUAGAAUUCCGCGUGUAGCAGUGAAAUGCGUAGAUAUGCGGAGGAAUACCGAUGGCGAAGGCAGCCCCCUGGGAUAAUACUGACGCUCAUGCACGAAAGCGUGGGUAGCAAACAGGAUUAGAUACCCUGGUAGUCCACGCCCUAAACGAUGUCAACUAGCUGUUGGGCCCUUCGGGGCUUAGUAGCGUAGCUAACGCGUGAAGUUGACCGCCUGGGGAGUACGGUCGCAAGAUUAAAACUCAAAGGAAUUGACGGGG